rnacentral:rRNA from 1 species
AAGUCGUAACAAGGUCUCCGUAGAGCAGUGAUCUCUCUGCAGCGAACUUAAGGAAGCCUUUGCACCCCUAACGGGGGCUCUCGCGACUCUAAAUAAGGAGGCAUGCAAGUGACAAAGCCCAACGGCUGAGUUGCAACACAAUCGAAUUGCGGGGAAGUCCUAAAGCCUCAGGGUACUAACCUGCUGUAGGAAUGCAGCAGGGGCCUGUGUUAAUCGCACAGGGUAUAGUAACAACCCCGGAGGAUCUAGCCAGGUGUGCUAGAAUGGACGAUCCGCAGCGAAGCCCCUAGACCAGGGGAACGUUCACAGACUAAGUGGUUGUGGGUAGGAGGGACUCCUGCUUAAGAUAUAGUCGGGCCGGCGCGGAAACGCGCUGGGGAUUCGCAAGAACGUAAACCGCUCCGUAGGUGAACCUGCGGAGGGAUC